CGUGAGGAACCUGCCUUCCAGAGGGGGGACAACAGUUGGAAACGACUGCUAAUACCGCAUGACGCAUUGGUGUCGCAUGGCACUGAUGUCAAAGAUUUAUCGCUGGAAGAUGGCCUCGCGUCUGAUUAGCUAGUUGGUGAGGUAACGGCCCACCAAGGCGACGAUCAGUAGCCGGACUGAGAGGUUGGCCGGCCACAUUGGGACUGAGAUACGGCCCAGACUCCUACGGGAGGCAGCAG
rnacentral:rRNA from 1 species